UACGAAGGGUGCAAGCGUUACUCGGAAUUACUGGGCGUAAAGGGCGCGUAGGCGGUCAGCACAAGUCAGUUGUGAAAUCUCCGGGCUUAACUCGGAAAGGUCAACUGAUACUGUGCGACUAGAGUGCAGAAGGGGCAACUGGAAUUCUCGGUGUAGCGGUGAAAUGCGUAGAUAUCGAGAGGAACACCUGCGGCGAAGGCGGGUUGCUGGGCUGACACUGACGCUGAUGCGCGAAAGCCAGGGGAGCGAACGGG
rnacentral:rRNA from 1 species